rnacentral:lncRNA from 1 species
ACCCUGCCAGCCUCCCUGCUGCAGCCGGCAGCACGUCACUCCAUGCGGGAGGGGAGCCCCACCUAAGGUUCUUGGCCAUAAAAUAUGGCUUUUGGAAAAAUAAAGCUGAGACUUGGAGUUCACGGUGGGGGCUCCCCCAUCUGUGAACAGAAGCAGAAGUUUGGAACUGCCUUCUUUACUGCUCGAGAGGGAAAACUUGAGUGAAAACCAGGAUGCUGGCGAAUGUUGAGUAGCUAAGCUGCACAGGAAAUACCACUUGAUGACCUGCGAUCUGGGGAAGCCGCGCCAGGGCUCUGCGAAGCUGCGGACGAGGGAGGCGUCAGUGUGGGGGCUGCAGCUCAGCUCCGGGGGGGACGCGCCUUUCUCCACGGGACCUGGGGCUCAGGUGCUCACGAGGCUGGGGCGCUGCAGGCCACCCGCAGGGGAAACUGAGGCCCUCCAUUUUGUGGGGCUGGAAGACCUUUCCUUCCAAAAGCAGGUGUAGGCGGGAGCACCUGUGCAGUCCCUCUGUUCAGAUCCUCACCCACUUUUAAAUCAGAUGCAGCUCAGGUGUGCCUUUUCUUCGCCUGUGCCCAUCCACCUGAGAUGGACCAUAACCAUAAAAGUCAGAAGGCACUGACCCUUCAGGACGUGACAGGGUUAAAAGAUGCUGGAGGGAAAGUCUGUCAUUGACUUUUAUUCACUUCCUUUCUCCAUUCUGCCAUUUGGAAGAAGCAUAAAUUGCAGAUGAUAAUUCAAAUUCCUGCAUCAGGUGGAAAGUAGCAGAUUUAAAACACUGCAAAGAAGGGGCUGAGCAGUGAGACGGAUGCUUUGGAACAAUCGAGAAAGUAAGAGCCAGCUGUAAGGUUGCCUGCAGCCAUGGAGCAAUGAAGUGUCAAGGUCAAAGAUCCCCCCAGGUCACGCAGUCCUGCCACUCUCCCUCCCUCUAUGGCCCUGCGCACUUCCAGUGGCAUAGCUAGGGUGGAUGAAGGGGACACCUCUGACCACAUCUCUCUGCCCUCUGACUCAAGUCCUUCCUGCUAUAAUGAAAUCCCCCAUGCUCCCUGAGUUUGGCAUCUACUUAAUCAAAGAAUGUGGAGACUUAGUUCUCAGGAGGGCCGCUACUGAGUGGGUAUGCCACUGGUCAAGAGGGUAACAGGAGACAGAAGACCCAGGAGGAGACUUUGGCCUAAAUGGAUCAGCAACACCACAGAGCAUCCACUCCCCCAGAGCAUCACCCGGAAGGACCAUCCGUUCGGAGACAUCCUGGGAGAACAAGAGGUUUCUUGUCUGACUCUAAAAUUUAUUUUAUCAGUGUAUCUAGGAUUGGGCUGAGUUUAAACAGAAAACCUUUAAAUAAGCACUAUAUGCCUGCUAGACAUAUUAAUGCAAUAAAAGAACCCUGUGUCUUGCUAAACUAAAUUCUCAAAAGUUAACAUUAAAAAAUGAUUCACGGC